rnacentral:rRNA from 1 species
GAUGAACGCUAGCGAUAGGCUUAACACAUGCAAGUCGAGGGGCAGCACAAGGUAGCUUGCUAUCUGGGUGGCGACCGGCGCACGGGUGCGUAACGCGUAUGCAACUUGCCCUAUACAGGAGGAUAACCCGUCGAAAGACGGACUAAUACUGCGUAUGCUCACAACUUGGCAUCAAGUGGUGAGGAAAGAAAUUCGAUAUAGGAUAGGCAUGCGUCCCAUUAGCUUGUUGGUGAGGUAACGGCUCACCAAGGCAACGAUGGGUAGGGGAACUGAGAGGUUUAUCCCCCACACUGGUACUGAGACACGGACCAGACUCCUACGGGAGGCAGCAGUGAGGAAUAUUGGUCAAUGGGCGCGAGCCUGAACCAGCCAAGUCGCGUGAAGGAGGACUGUCUUAUGGAUUGUAAACUUCUUUUAUACGGGAAUAACAAGAGUCACGUGUGACUCCCUGCAUGUACCGUAUGAAUAAGCAUCGGCUAACUCCGUG